rnacentral:lncRNA from 1 species
AAGAUGCAUGGCAGUUUGAGGAGGGAGGACACACCAGGAAGAUGCAUGGCAGUUUGAGGAGGGAGGACACACCAGGAAGAUGCAUGGCAGUUUGAGGAGGGAGGAGCUGCAGAGUACAGGGAGCACCUUCACUCCCCGAGUGAGUCCUGCCCAGAGCCUAGGACAAGCAGUGGCUCUCCUUGCUGCAGAUUCUCAGUAGCCAUUGUCCCUGCUAGGAUGUCCUCCUCUGAGGUCAGCUCACAUCAUCAGCAGUGGCAUGAGGUCUGCUUGAUGCAGAAGUGUCAGCCUGCUGGGGCACAUGAAGGGUGGCACUGAUGCUGGGGCACAUGAAGGGUGGCACUUCCUGAAGCCCAGACCCUGGCCUGUCGGCCUUUGUGUCUGCUCAUUGCUGCGAUCACUCUUACUUUCAGGGGACAGUAAAUCCAAGCCUUCCUCCCAGUUUGACCCCAAUAAGGUGGCACCUUCUGGAAAGGUAAGGCUGCAGGGGGCACCUUCAGCUCCAAGGACUCCCCCCUGCCUCUGCUCUGGUGACCAACUGGGCUUCUUCUCAAACUUCCCCACCUCAUUUCUUCUCAAGACAGAUGCUGCUGCCAUUUGUCCCCACAGCAAUUUUUUAAAGUGUAUUAUUAAUGUGUAAGAGUGCAGAAAAGCCAGAGGACAGUAUAUAGGAGUUCCGGCCUCCUACCAUGGGCUCUGGGGAUCUAACACAGGUCAUUGGGCUUUACUGUGUGGCCCUGCAGGCCGUGUAUCAGCAAUGUGAGAACAGACAGCAAAGAUUAUAGUACGUAUAACCUAGGCUGACCUAGAACUCACGGCCCUCCUGCUUCCACCAUUUGACUGCUGGGAUCACAGGCCUGUGCCACUAUACCUGACUUGCUAUGUUGCUGCACUGGAUGUCUUCCAGUCUACUGCCUGGGCCUGAGGUGCUGCCCUACACACUGAAGGGGCUACAUGUAUAACUCCUGACUGCCUCAGGUCUGUGCUAACCAGGCUGAAUUUGAAGCUUACUGAGAGUGGUCAGGACUGCAGAGCCCCUCCUAUUCCUGUCAGGCACACAAGUUGGGGUAAUUGAGGCUGGCAUCAGCGUACAUAACUCUUCUCUUUCAGAAAUGUUUUGGAGCCAAAAAGUUUAAGCAGUCGGUGGGAAACAAAAGCAUGUCAUUUCCUGCUGGGAAGUCGGACAGAGGCUUCCGGCACAACUGGCCAAAGAGAUAGUCUUGGAGAGACUCCUGGGGCCGUGGACACUGCUGCUUUGUACAAAACCCAUUUUAAAAUCAUUAAAAAUUUAUUCCUACCAG